GAGCAGGUGGACGACGAUUCCUCAGACUCCGACGCCACCGCCUCCUCCGACAGCGAUGGGGAAACGCCCAAAGGGGCGGAGCCGCCUCCCCUUAAAAGGAAGCGCAGCCCCACAGGGGGCGGAGCCUCACCGCCGCCCGCCCCCAGCCUGGCUCCACCCACUUCCUACCUGAGCACCGUGAGUCACUGCCACCAAGAUGGCUGCCCGCGGGUGGGAGCCGCCAUCUUGGGGGUGCAGGGGGGUUGGGAGCCGCCAUCUUGGGGGGGGGCGGAGGGGAGGCGGUGGGAGGAGGAAAGGAUUUUGGGUGUGGGGGCGGCCAUUUUCUAAUGGGAGCCGCCAUCUUGGGGAUGUGGGUUCCUCCAUCUUGUGGGGGGGUGGGGGCCGCCAUCUUGGAGGAUGGCAGCCACCAUCUUGGGGGAAGGGGGCCGCCAUCUUGGGGAGUGG